AGAGUUUGAUCCUGGCUCAGAACGAACGCUGGCGGCAGGCUUAACACAUGCAAGUCGAGCGGGCUCCUUCGGGGGUCAGCGGCGGACGGGUUAGUAACGCGUGGGAACGUGCCCUCUUCUACGGAACAGCCUCGGGAAACUGAGAUUAAUACCGUAUACGUCCCGAAAGGGAGAAAGAUUUAUCGGAGGAGGAUCGGCCCGCGUUGGAUUAGGUAGUUGGUGGGGUAACGGCCUACCAAGCCGACGAUCCAUAGCUGGUUUGAGAGGAUGAUCAGCAACACUGGGACUGAGACACGGCCCAGACUCCUACGGGAGGCAGCAGUGGGGAAUCUUGGACAAUGGGGGCAACCCUGAUCCAGCCAUGCCGCGUGGACGAUGAAGGCCUUAGGGUUGUAAAGUCCUUUCGCCGGGGAAGAUAAUGACGGUACCCGGUAAAGAAGCCCCGGCUAACUCCGUGCCAGCCGCCGCGGUAAUUC
rnacentral:rRNA from 1 species